rnacentral:rRNA from 1 species
CAAGUCGUGGGGCAGCAUGACUGUAGCAAUACAGUUGAUGGCGACCGGCAAACGGGUGCGGAACACGUACACAACCUUCCUUCGAGUGGGGAAUAGCCCGGGGAAACCCGGAUUAAUACCCCGUAACAUAAUGGAGUGGCAUCACUUUAUUAUUAUAGCUCCGGCGCUUGAAGAUGGGUGUGCGACUGAUUAGGCAGUUGGCGGGGUAACGGCCCACCAAACCUACGAUCAGUAACUGGUGUGAGAGCACGACCAGUCACACGGGCACUGAGACACGGGCCCGACUCCUACGGGAGGCAGCAGUAAGGAAUAUUGGUCAAUGGACGCAAGUCUGAACCAGCCAUGCCGCGUGGAGGAUGAAGGCCCUCUGGGUUGUAAACUUCUUUUAUCUGGGACGAAAAAGGGACUUUCUAGUUCAACUGACGGUACCAGAGGAAUAAGCACCGGCUAACUCCGUGCCAGCAGCCGCGGUAAUACGGAGGGUGCAAGCGUUAUCCGGAUUCACUGGGUUUAAAGGGUGCGUAGGUGGGUUGGUAAGUCAGUGGUGAAAUCUCCAGGCUUAACUUGGAAACUGCCAUUGAUACUAUUAAUCUUGAAUACCGUGGAGGUCAGCGGAAUAUGUCAUGUAGCGGUGAAAUGCUUAGAUAUGACAUAGAACACCAAUUGCGAAGGCAGCUGGCUACACGAAUAUUGACACUGAUGCACGAAAGCGUGGGGAUCAAACAGGAUUAGAUACCCUGGUAGUCCACGCCCUAAACGAUGGAUACUCGACAUACGCGAUAUACUGUGUGUGUCUGAGCGAAAGCAUUAAGUAUCCCACCUGGGAAGUACGAUCGCAAGAUUGAAACUC